GAAAUGCGAUAAGUAAUGUGAAUUGCAGAAUUCAGUGAAUCAUCGUAUCUUUGAACGCACAUUGCGCCCGCCAGUAUUCUGGCGGGCAUGCCUGUUCGAGCGUCAUUUCAACCAUCAAGCCCCCGGCUUGUGUUGGGGACCUGCGGCUGCCCGCAGGCCCUGAAAAACAGUGGCGGGCUCGCUGUCACACCGAGCGUAGUAGCAUACAUUCUCGCUCAGGGCGUGCUGCGGGUUCCGGCCGUUAAACGACCUUCAUAACCCAAGGUUGACCUCGGAUCAGGUAGGAAGACCCGCUGAACUUAAGC
rnacentral:misc_RNA from 1 species